rnacentral:lncRNA from 1 species
GAAGCAAAGGGAUAUCCAAAGUUAAAUCUCAAGUCCACAGCAGAGGAGACAGACCUACCUCGCUCUCAGGUCAACACUCACUUGUCCACAGUGUUUUUGUCAUUUGAAUUGAUCCAGGUCCAAGGUCAAACCCAUCAGUGGUGUUUAGAUGAAAGCCAUGCAUGACCCUUUUCACAAGAAGAGUCAACUCAUAGCAGCUGGGUCUGGGAUUUCAUUGUAGCACCCACAACACCUCCUUCACUGUGGACUAUCCCAGAAAAAGGCAGUCAGACAAAGUCAGACAAACUAUUCCUGUGCCCAGGAAAGGCUGCACCAUCUUUGCUUGCAAGAGCAAAAACUACAUCAACUUACUGUCAUCACGCUCCAUUAACACUUUCAGGUCUUAAGCAGAAUGGGUUUUGACAGAAAUUGUUUAUAACUAAGCUGUCUUCCCUCUAAAUUGGUAAUAAAUAUUUUUAAGUCAGCUUUGACUCCAUUUUGAUUAAAAUUAUGAAGAAUAAAUCCUUACAGCUGCAUCUUGUGUUCAUGUAUUUGUAACCAAACACUCUGGUGCUCUUUUUCGAAAUGAUUUACAAAAUGAGGCAUGUUAACUAUGCUGCUCUGAAAGAAUAUUAAAGACAUUUCACAAAAUACUGAAAUCAUAGUGAUUUGGGCUGGUCCCCUCUGGAGAACUUGUUGCAGUUGGCUCAGAAGGCUGAAUAAAUAUUUUCUGGGGACUCUCCAGUUUCUGACUCAUUUCAGCCUGGAAUAUCUAUUUGGAGCAUAAGACUCUCCUCAAUUUCAGUCCAACUCCACCAGCACUCACAGAACAUAACAGCUGGUAAGAAACUUGCCACUACCAAAUCUGUACCUUUCCAACAAUCAAGAACAUCAGUUGAGAGGUGAGGGUUUGUCUCUGUCAAUGCUUUUCCAUGUUGCUCAGCCAGGACCCUGUUGGCUUUCCCUGAAUAAACUGCAAUAGGAUGGGAAGAGAGACCUCCCAUACCAAGCAUGACACCUCUGACAGCAGGGGCUGCUCUCUCUCCUAAUCAUCCCUACAUCUUUCCCACUUUUCUACUUCAACUACCACCUCGAAACUUGUUUGAAGUGAAUGUCUGGGAUCCUGGAAAUGUUUGUGUCGCUAAUGUCCUCUGUCACUGCCUGCUACAUCACAGAGCUCUGUGUGCUUCAGAUACUGUAAGGGGACAACUGACCUGUUCUAACAACUCAUGUCCUGCUGGUAUCAGUUUUCUAGAGAGUCUUAUUUGCUCCUGAUGCUGUGACUAUGUAACAUUGUGACACGCUAAAUAAAGAAAAAAUCCUGCAAAGUAAAGUAAAA